CGGUUCGAGUCCGCUUACCUCCACUGACUCUUCCUAAUCUCAAAACGAUGGAGAACUUCUUAUUGUUUUUAUUGUGAUCUAGUAUUUAGUUUUGUUCGAACGAACCUAGCUUCUUAUCAUCCAUAAUUUGUAGAUAAAACCUACAUGAAUGGUUGAUAAUACGCUGGGCUCAAUACAGCUUAAUAGCUGUAUAUGUGUUCAGUA
rnacentral:misc_RNA from 1 species